rnacentral:rRNA from 1 species
CCCUUAGAUGUUCUGGGCCGCACGCGCGCUACACUGAAUGGAUCAACGUGUUUUCCCUUCCCGAGAGGGACGGGUAACCCGCUGAACCCCAUUCGUGGUAGGGAUCGGAGCUUGCAAUUGUUCUCCGUGAACCAGGAAUUCCCAGUAAGCGCAAGUCAUAAGCCUGCGUUGAUUACGUCCCUGCCCUUUGUACACACCGCCCGUCGCUCCUACCGAUUGAAUGGUCCGGUGAAGCGUUCGGACCGUGGCCUUUGGACGGUUCGCCGUCUGUUGGCUGCGGGAAGUUCGUUAAACCUUAUCAUUUAGAGGAAGGAGAAGUCGUAACA